rnacentral:rRNA from 1 species
AUUGAACGCUGGCGGCAGGCCUAACACAUGCAAGUCGAACGCGUGGCGGACGGGUGAGUAAUGUCUGGGAAACUGCCCGAUGGAGGGGGAUAACUACUGGAAACGGUAGCUAAUACCGCAUACCAUCGGAUGUGCCCAGAUGGGAUUAGCUAGUAGGUGGGGUAACGGCUCACCUAGGCGAAGAUCCCUAGCUGGUCUGAGCGGAUGAGCGGCAAAACGGGACCUGGGACACGGUCCGGAUUCCUACGGGAGGCAGCAGUGGGGAAUAUUGCACAAUGGGCGAAAGCCUGAUGCAGCCAUGCCGGGUGUAUGAAGAAGGCCUUGGGGUUGUAAAGUACUUUCAGCGAGGAGGCGUUACUCGCAGAAGAAGCACCGGCUAACUCCGUGCCAGCAGCCGCGGUAAUAC